rnacentral:rRNA from 1 species
UACGUAGGGCGCAAGCGUUGUCCGGAAUUAUUGGGCGUAAAGAGCUCGUAGGCGGCUUGUCACGUCGGGUGUGAAAGCCCGGGGCUUAACCCCGGGUCUGCAUUCGAUACGGGCUGGCUAGAGUGUGGUAGGGGAGAUCGGAAUUCCUGGUGUAGCGGUGAAAUGCGCAGAUAUCAGGAGGAACACCGGUGGCGAAGGCGGGUAGCUGGGCCGAUACUGACGCUGAGGAGCGAAAGCGUGGGGAGCGAACAGG